GAAUAAAGUGGCACACACAUGGCAGCUCCUUUAUUAGCUCUGCAGCACUUAGCUCCAUUGGUGCCUCCAAGCUGUACCAGCAGCAGCAGGUCCUUCAGACAUCAGCUUCUUCAUCAGGAAAAGAAUACUAGACCAGGAGCCUUCUGCUGUAAGGGACCUCAGAGUCUGUUGAAGAAACAAAGCAACAGCAAUUACAUAGCUGUGAGUGUGAUGUGAGAAGCUGUUUCAAGUUCCCGCUGCCCUGACUUCAUGGCUAUGGUGAAUUAGAACCUGGAAUUGUGAGUUAAAAGAAACCCUUUCUUUGGAAAAUUGCAUUUUGUCUUCGUGGUUUGUCACAGAAACGGAAACGAAACCUGGACACCAAAUGUGAGCGUGAAGACCCCAGUGUGACUGCCCAGAACCUGUGGAAAAGACAACAUAGUAGCACAUAUCUGUAAUCUCAGUGCUCCUUUGUGGAGACAGGAGAUGAGAGAUAGGAGAAUCCCCC
ensembl:lincRNA Gm29065 predicted gene 29065